rnacentral:lncRNA from 1 species
AUCCUAGCAUCAGUUGGGAGAGUCUACUCUGUUCACAAACUCAUUAUGUGCCUUGGUUGGCUUUGGGCUUCUGUUUGCAUUUUAAGGGAGCUUAGUGCCAAGUAAGUAUAGAAUUAGGUUCAGUCAUAGGUAGAAGGGGUCAGCUGCCCUUCAGAAAGCAGAACUUCAAGUGCAAGCUGGGGUUUUGCUUCAGCACUACUGAUAAACCGAAGGUGCCUUUUGUCAUCAUUCUGCUGAUGACAGAGGGGCAUGCCUCUCAGAAGGUGCCUCUCCCAUGGGAAGCUUCUCCGCUUAACACUGUAAACCACUUCCGGUCCAGAAGCCGUUCUUGACGAAUCCCCAAGGAUAAAAUAAGAGUCUUUCUCAAACAAAAUGUUCACAAGUCCAAAUGCACGGUCUGUGUACAUACAAGAAAGAGGACCUUAUCACCAGUGAGUGACUAAGACUUCUCCUUGGGCAAUAGACUUCUGAGGCGCAGUGUGUGUUUCCUGACCUGGCAGAAAGUGGGCGGGGCUACAGGAAAUGUUAACGUGUCAGUUCCUCUCCGGCUGGUUUGUUUGAGAAGCGGUAAACCUCGAAGCCCAUUUUAAACGCAAACUGUUGGCAUUUCAGAAAUUUAAAAACCAUGAUGUGGUAUUCUGCAUCCCUCAAGAAUCCUCCAAAGAAUUUGUGUACUAGACAUACAGAUUUUUGUUCAAAAUACAAGAUUUCUAGAAAUCUCUUUUUGUCCUUCCCUAGAUCAGAUUUAGUCUGCUUGUGUCUACUAUGUCCAGUCUGGAUGGAAAACAAAGGUUAGCCGUGUUAGCGGGAUAUCAUCAGGGGUCUCAUUAAAAUUCGGUGCAUUGAAGGAAGAAUGCCUUAGAUUCUUAACAGCCACUAGUGAGCCGCUGACAGCAGGUGGUCUGAAUGCAGUCAGGACUGCUUCCAGCCAUCCUGUGACAGAGGCUCCUGUUGAGUGUUGUUCAGUGCCAGUGUUAGAGAUGGGAAAGUGACAUGAAAAAACUGUGCCCUUCCAGCUUCUACUCAACUCAGCCUAGUUCCCCCAUUCUCGCACCUUUCCUGUGCCUGUCUUGUGUUGGAUGUGUCUUCCUGGUGCCUGGAAACUUAGGCUUUUGUGCCCGAGACAAGGAAGCACAAAGACUUGGCAAACUCCCUGGAAGCAGAAAGGAAAAUGCCUUCCAGACUCCUAGAGCAACUGGGAACAAGAUAAUUAAUGUCACAGCAGAUCCUUCCUGCCAGAAAUGUUUCACCCUGCCUUUUUACAAGGAAAGGAACAAAGCCGAGCCUUUCAAUUGAAUAGGACUACAAAGAUUCAGAGCACAGAAUGAGGUUAGAGGGCCACUCAGUUGUCUGAGACAACUGUAACACUUUCCCACUGCACUUAGGGAACAGUCCUUCUAAAGACUCAGUUAUUUAGCUGGCAGAUUCACUGGCCUUGUGUAGUGACAAGGUUGGAAUUUAACACUAAAUACUUAGAAAACCCUAACAAUAAGUAUAGUCACAGUAUCGAGUGAACAUCCAGACCCCAUCUCACUACCCCAUAUCCUAAUAAAUACUUUAUUAUGGUUUUAGUUUGGCAUGGGCUUCCAUUUAAAACAGGAAAUGUAGUUUGUGUAUUGUUUCUUUUUCACAUUGGAGAGAAUAAAUUUUCAUUUUCUCUCCAUCACUUGCACACAGAUAGCAUAAGCCUAGUCCAUUCCACAGACAAAUCAAGGAUGCCUCUCUGCCUGAAAUGAAGGUUCCUCAGAGGAAUUAAGGCUAGAAUGAGAUGUUUAAAUGAACAAGACAGAACUAACUCUGGUGCCUGCAGUAUUUACCUAUGUGAGCUGAGUGCAGAGGUUCACCUAUCAGUGGUGACUUCAGAUCUUGACCAAAAACCUUGCUAGAACAUCAGCGGACUUCUUGAAAUAGUGGGGGGUGCCUAGAGUUUGAGUGAAGGUGUUGACGGCUCCCUGCUACUGACUCCCCUUGUCAGCAGAUGUGAGUGUGGUAUCGACUCCAGGACUCUAGAAUCACAACCUAGUUUCUAAAAAUUAUUUUUUUUAAGUUUUUCUUGGUAAAAGAAAAGUAGGGCCAAUAAAUGCAGCAUUUUAAAGAACACCACUCAGUUCUGUGCCAGGGUUCAGACCGCUGUUAGUUUUCUAAAUUGAUCACAAGAUGAUAGCAAAGACUCUUGAAUGUCUUUUCAGUGGUCCUUAAAGUUAGAUCCAUGCUUUAUUGCUUUGAACAGCAGCCUCCUCAGCAUCUUAACUCCAGAAGAUGACUUGAUUUAUAGGAAACAGAUUUAUCUUUUCUUUUUUCUUCCAAGAGGAUGAGUUGACUGAGUCUUUUACAACACCGAAGGAAUGUGUACUAUCACUAGUCUUAAAAUGCCAGUGAAGCAUCCACUUGCCAGUUUGAGACAGCCUGGGGUAGCUUGUUCCAGAAUAUGGCUACCUCCAACAACACCCUCUCUAAGCCUGUGACACUCUUUCUUGAAAGCUUAGCCCCCAAUCCUAGCAUCGACAUAGGAGGACUCCU